UCGUUUGGACAGUUUUUGUGACAUCUUUUAAACCGCUUAUUGUCACCUUUGUUCAUUAUCAUAAACAAAGACUCUGUGAACUAAUUAAGAUCAGAACUGAAGCUUAAAGGAAUCCGUUUUUUUUGAGAAGACAAGGGCCUAACAAGGAGAUAUAAUUAAAUUACCUUCGAAAUGACGAAAAGUUAUCAAAACCAAAUAUUAUAGUAACAUAUUAUAAAUAUAGCAAAGAUCAAAUCAUUUUA